UCCAUAAUUUUUUCAAAUCAUCUUCCAAAAUAUGUUUCGGUUCCCAUCUUUAAUUGUGUUUCAUCGCACAAACCCUAAAUCUAUAAAUCCAUCUGAAUUCUGCGGUUUCUUCUCAUCGAUUAUUAGGGCAAACGAUUUAUCGAUCGUAUCUGUUUGUUCAUAUCUACUUGGCAUUCAAACGAUCUGUCAACCCUGAUUUAAGGUAUUUCGUAUGGCUGAAAGUUCAUCUAGUUUCAGAGGACCCUGCUUUUGUAGGCACAUGAAUAAAGCAGACGAAUUUAUUAUGUGUAUUCCAGAUGACGCUGUGUCCAAACUAUGGG